UACGUAGGGGGCGAGCGUUGUCCGGAAUCAUUGGGCGUAAAGCGCGCGUAGGCGGCCAGAUAAGUCCGGUGUGAAAGUCACAGGCUCAACCUGUGAAUGCCGCUGGAAACUGUCUGGCUAGAGUCCGGAAGGGGCGAGUGGAAUUCCUGGUGUAGCGGUGAAAUCCGUAGAUAUCAGGAGGAACACCGGUGGCGAAGGCGGCUACCUGGACCGAUAUUGACGCUGAGACGCGAAAGCGUGGGGAGCAAACAGG
rnacentral:rRNA from 1 species